GGUUAAGCGACUAAGCGUACACGGUGGAUGCCCUGGCAGUCAGAGGCGAUGAAGGACGUGCUAAUCUGCGAUAAGCGUCGGUAAGGUGAUAUGAACCGUUAUAACCGGCGAUUUCCGAAUGGGGAAACCCAGUGUGAUUCGUCACACUAUCAUUAACUGAAUCCAUAGGUUAAUGAGGCGAACCGGGGGAACUGAAACAUCUAAGUACCCCGAGGAAAAGAAAUCAACCGAGAUUCCCCCAGUAGCGGCGAGCGAACGGGGAGCAGCCCAGAGCCUGAAUCAGUGUGUGUGUUAGUGGAAGCGUCUGGAAAGGCGCGCGAUACAGGGUGACAGCCCCGUACACAAAAAUGCACAUAUUGUGAGCUCGAUGAGUAGGGCGGGACACGUGGUAUCCUGUCUGAAUAUGGGGGGACCAUCCUCCAAGGCUAAAUACUCCUGACUGACCGAUAGUGAACCAGUACCGUGAGGGAAAGGCGAAAAGAACCCCGGCGAGGGGAGUGAAAAAGAACCUGAAACCGUGUACGUACAAGCAGUGGGAGCACGCUUCGGCGUGUGACUGCGUACCUUUUGUAUAAUGGGUCAGCGACUUAUAUUCUGUAGCAAGGUUAACCGAAUAGGGGAGCCGAAGGGAAACCGAGUCUUAACUGGGCGUUAAGUUGCAGGGUAUAGACCCGAAACCCGGUGAUCUAGCCAUGGGCAGGUUGAAGGUUGGGUAACACUAACUGGAGGACCGAACCGACUAAUGUUGAAAAAUUAGCGGAUGACUUGUGGCUGGGGGUGAAAGGCCAAUCAAACCGGGAGAUAGCUGGUUCUCCCCGAAAGCUAUUUAGGUAGCGCCUCGUGAAUUCAUCUCCGGGGGUAGAGCACUGUUUCGGCAAGGGGGUCAUCCCGACUUACCAACCCGAUGCAAACUGCGAAUACCGGAGAAUGUUAUCACGGGAGACACACGGCGGGUGCUAACGUCCGUCGUGAAGAGGGAAACAACCCAGACCGCCAGCUAAGGUCCCAAAGUCAUGGUUAAGUGGGAAACGAUGUGGGAAGGCCCAGACAGCCAGGAUGUUGGCUUAGAAGCAGCCAUCAUUUAAAGAAAGCGUAAUAGCUCACUGGUCGAGUCGGCCUGCGCGGAAGAUGUAACGGGGCUAAACCAUGCACCGAAGCUGCGGCAGCGACGCUGAUGCGUUGUUGGGUAGGGGAGCGUUCUGUAAGCCUGCGAAGGUGUGCUGUGAGGCAUGCUGGAGGUAUCAGAAGUGCGAAUGCUGACAUAAGUAACGAUAAAGCGGGUGAAAAGCCCGCUCGCCGGAAGACCAAGGGUUCCUGUCCAACGUUAAUCGGGGCAGGGUGAGUCGACCCCUAAGGCGAGGCCGAAAGGCGUAGUCGAUGGGAAACAGGUUAAUAUUCCUGUACUUGGUGUUACUGCGAAGGGGGGACGGAGAAGGCUAUGUUGGCCGGGCGACGGUUGUCCCGGUUUAAGCGUGUAGGCUGGUUUUCCAGGCAAAUCCGGAAAAUCAAGGCUGAGGCGUGAUGACGAGGCACUACGGUGCUGAAGCAACAAAUGCCCUGCUUCCAGGAAAAGCCUCUAAGCAUCAGGUAACAUCAAAUCGUACCCCAAACCGACACAGGUGGUCAGGUAGAGAAUACCAAGGCGCUUGAGAGAACUCGGGUGAAGGAACUAGGCAAAAUGGUGCCGUAACUUCGGGAGAAGGCACGCUGAUAUGUAGGUGAAGUCCCUCGCGGAUGGAGCUGAAAUCAGUCGAAGAUACCAGCUGGCUGCAACUGUUUAUUAAAAACACAGCACUGUGCAAACACGAAAGUGGACGUAUACGGUGUGACGCCUGCCCGGUGCCGGAAGGUUAAUUGAUGGGGUCAGCGCAAGCGAAGCUCUUGAUCGAAGCCCCGGUAAACGGCGGCCGUAACUAUAACGGUCCUAAGGUAGCGAAAUUCCUUGUCGGGUAAGUUCCGACCUGCACGAAUGGCGUAAUGAUGGCCAGGCUGUCUCCACCCGAGACUCAGUGAAAUUGAACUCGCUGUGAAGAUGCAGUGUACCCGCGGCAAGACGGAAAGACCCCGUGAACCUUUACUAUAGCUUGACACUGAACAUUGAGCCUUGAUGUGUAGGAUAGGUGGGAGGCUUUGAAGUGUGGACGCCAGUCUGCAUGGAGCCGACCUUGAAAUACCACCCUUUAAUGUUUGAUGUUCUAACGUUGACCCGUAAUCCGGGUUGCGGACAGUGUCUGGUGGGUAGUUUGACUGGGGCGGUCUCCUCCUAAAGAGUAACGGAGGAGCACGAAGGUUGGCUAAUCCUGGUCGGACAUCAGGAGGUUAGUGCAAUGGCAUAAGCCAGCUUGACUGCGAGCGUGACGGCGCGAGCAGGUGCGAAAGCAGGUCAUAGUGAUCCGGUGGUUCUGAAUGGAAGGGCCAUCGCUCAACGGAUAAAAGGUACUCCGGGGAUAACAGGCUGAUACCGCCCAAGAGUUCAUAUCGACGGCGGUGUUUGGCACCUCGAUGUCGGCUCAUCACAUCCUGGGGCUGAAGUAGGUCCCAAGGGUAUGGCUGUUCGCCAUUUAAAGUGGUACGCGAGCUGGGUUUAGAACGUCGUGAGACAGUUCGGUCCCUAUCUGCCGUGGGCGCUGGAGAACUGAGGGGGGCUGCUCCUAGUACGAGAGGACCGGAGUGGACGCAUCACUGGUGUUCGGGUUGUCAUGCCAAUGGCACUGCCCGGUAGCUAAAUGCGGAAGAGAUAAGUGCUGAAAGCAUCUAAGCACGAAACUUGCCCCGAGAUGAGUUCUCCCUGACCCUUUAAGGGUCCUGAAGGAACGUUGAAGACGACGACGUUGAUAGGCCGGGUGUGUAAGCGCAGCGAUGCGUUGAGCUAACCGGUACUAAUGAACCGUGAGGCUUAACCUU
rnacentral:rRNA from 1 species